rnacentral:misc_RNA from 1 species
AAUCCUCAAGCUUGGGGUGCUUUUUUCAUCCUAAGCUUGGUAAUUGGGCUCUGCUGUUCCUUUGAUUGGAACAGCUGGCCUUAAAAUCAUUAGCUGAUCCUGAUGGGUUGUGGUGUUGGUUUUACUCAGCGUGAUAAUGAAUCUGACCGCUGGGGGGAAAUAUCUUUCGGGAUGGCCAAUUCUCAAUCUUGGGUUGCUUCUAAUUUGGCUUUUACGCAUAUUCUG